rnacentral:rRNA from 1 species
UACGAAGGGGGCGAGCGUUGUUCGGAUUUACUGGGCGUAAAGGGCGCGUAGGCGGCCCUCCUUGUCGCGUGUGAAAGCCCCGGGCUCAACCUGGGGAAUUGCGCGCGAAACGGGGGGGCUUGAGUUCGGGAGAGGAGCGUGGAAUUCCCGAGUGUAGAGGUGAAAUGCGUAGAUAUCUGGAGGAACACCGGGUGGCGAAGGCGGCAUCCUGGACCGGUAUUGGACGCUGAGGCGGCGAAAAGCCAGGGGGAGCAAACGGG